AUGACCCCCGGCUCCAUGCGCCGCUACAUCUACCGCAAGGUCGUCCUCUCCGACUCUGCCGCCGUCGCCAUGCUCAUCACCGAUCUACGGUACGGCGCCGUGGCCUUCGCCACGGGGGAGGGCCGCGUGUGGAGGCUAGUGCCCUCGCGCCAUGGCAUCACCAAGGCCGGGACCAAGUGUGCCAGGUGGCCGAGGCCGCCUUCGCGCGACAGCAUCGAGGACGCUGUCCACCACGAGGGCAGGUUCUACUCGAUCACUUACUCCGGCGAGUUGGAGGCGUGGGAGCAGGACGCCGAUGGUACUGGCGUGUUCACCAGUGUGGUUGUAGAGCCAGGGCAGCCCUGGUGCGACCACAACAAGUACCUGGUGACGGCGCCGGGCGGUCGGCUGAUGGUCGUGCUCAAGCAGUCUGAUAAGGUCACGCAUCGGUUGACAUUCAAGGUGCUGGUCCUUGACGCGGGUGCCAAGCAAUGGAAGGAGGUGGACGACAUCGGCGACGCCGCAUUGUUCAUCGGGGUGAAUGGCUCGCUGUGCGUGUCGACGAGGGAGCAACCGGAGCUUAGGGCCGGCUGCGUCUACUACACCGCCGACGAUCUGUCGCCGUACUACCCCGACAACCAGCGUGGCGCCGGGGUGUUCAGCCUCAAGGACGGCAGGGAGGAGAAGGUCGAGGGCCUUGGGCCGCACCGGAACAAGCCGCCACCGGCGUGGUUCACGCUUUGCAUCCCAUGA
rnacentral:rRNA from 1 species